UCAUCAUGCCCCUUAUGACCUGGGCUACACACGUGCUACAAUGGUUGGUACAACGAGUUGCGAGUCGGUGACGGCGAGCUAAUCUCUUAAAGCCAAAUCUCAGUUCGGAUUGUAGGCUGCAACUCGCCUACAUGAAGUCGGAAUCGCUAGUAAUCGCGGAUCAGCACGCCGCGGUGAAUACGUUCCCGGGCCUU
rnacentral:rRNA from 1 species